rnacentral:rRNA from 1 species
AAGUGAAACCGCGAAUGGCUCAUUAAAUCAGUUAUGGUUCCUUAGAUCGUACCUAACUACUUGGAUAACUGUGGUAAUUCUAGAGCUAAUACAUGCAGCAGAGCUCCGACCUUCGGGGACGAGCGCUUUUAUUAGCCAAGACCAGUCGGGCCGCGUCCGUACAUAUGGUGACUCUGGAUAACUUUUGGCUGAUCGCACGGACUCGUUCCGGCGACGCAUCUUUCAAGUGUCUGCCUUAUCAACUGUCGACGGUUGGUUAAAUGCCUACCGUGGUUGUAACGGGUGACGGGGAAUCAGGGUUCGAUUCCGGAGAGGGAGCCUGAGAAACGGCUACCAGUUCUAAGGAAGGCAGCAGGCGCGCAAAUUACGCCAUGGGAGUCUCCCGACGUAGUGACGAAAAAUAACAAUACGGGACUCUUUUGAGACCCCGUAAUUGGAAUGAGUACAAUCUAAAUCCUUUAACGAGGAUCUAUUGGAGAGCAAGCCUAGUGCCAGCCGUCGCGGUAAUACUAGUUCCAAUAGCGUAUAUUAAAGUUGUUGCGGUUAAAAAGCUCGUAGUUGGAUCUCAGUUCCAGUCGUGCGCUCCGCCUACCGGUGGUAAGCGCACGUUCUGAACAGUCAGUCGGUUUCCCUAGAUGAUCUUCACCGGUUGUCCUGGGUGACCGGCACGUUUACCUUGAAAAAAUUAGAGUGCUCAAAGCAGGCGUGACGCCUGAACAUUGGUGCAUGGAAUAAUGGAAUAGGACCUCGGUUCUAUUUUGUUGGUUUUCUGAAUAUGAGGUAAUGAUUAAGAGGAACAGACGGGGUCAUUAGUACAUUACAGCUAGGGGUGAAAUCCAGUGAACUGUAAUUGACUGACAAGAGCGAAAGCAUUUGACAAGAAUGCUUCCUUUGAUCAAGAACGAAAGUUGGGGGUUUGAAGUCGAUCAGAUACCGACCUAAUCUUAACUAUAAACGAUGCCAACCAGCGAUCCGCCUGAGUUCCUCAAAUGACUCGGCGGGCAGCUCCCGGGAAACCACAAG